rnacentral:rRNA from 1 species
UACAGAGGUGGCAAGCGUUGUUCGGAAUUACUGGGCGUAAAGGGCGCGUAGGCGGCCUUCUUAGUCGGACGUGAAAUCCCCAGGCUUAACUUGGGAACUGCGUCCGAUACUGGAGGGCUCGAGUGCGGGAGAGGGAUGUGGAAUUCCAGGUGUAGCGGUGAAAUGCGUAGAUAUCUGGAGGAACACCGGUGGCGAAGGCGGCAUCCUGGACCGACACUGACGCUGAUGCGCGAAAGCUAGGGGAGCAAACAGG